CGGGGUUUCACCAUAUUAGCCAAGCUGGUCUCGAACUUCUGGCCUCAGUUGAUUCCCCACCUCAGUUUUUCCAGUUUAUAUUCCCACCAGCAGGGUACAAGGAUUCCUAUUUCCCUACUUCCUCAUUAAUUAAGGGGAUGACACUCUUUCCGUUGUUUUUAUAGAUCUGCACGGAACAAUGCAGCUUCUCUGCAUGACUGGAGUUUGUUUUGUCUUUGAAGAUAAUCUCACUAGGAUCCAGACCAUACCUGCUGGAGAGUCAGGACUCUGGAUUUCUGACUGUUUUGAGGACAGCUACUCUCAUCCUAGGCUGAUCUGAGUUUCUGGGUCUUUCUCUGCCUGUUCUUUCCUCUCCCCUUCCCUUCUCUGCAGCAGAAAGUGUUUUAUGUGGGUGUCAGCAACAUCAGGACCUUCCAAACCCCUUGCCCCAGUAUCAUCCCUGAAUGCAAAACUCACUUAGAGGCCUAGGGAAGAGAUUAGAGCUCUGCUUUUCCUCUGCCACCUCAGGUGUAUUCUAGCUUACGAGACACUUUCACAGAAAAAAAAUUCAGGGAAUGGAAUGGGAAGGCAAAAAUAGCUGCUUGAUGCUGACUUGGCACAUUGACUUCGACCAAAUCACCUAGCGCCUCGUCCUUAGUACUCUGGUGACCACAGAAUAAUCCUCGCACAGUGAGUAGUGGAAGUCAGGAGGAGUAAACUGCCUAGAUGUCAUGAAGGGAAAGCAAUAGACUUGUGCAAAGUCUAUUCUUGUCUGUUUCCCUGUGAAUCCAGGUUGCUGAACAUCGGCCGAUGUCUGAGCUGUGGUUUUCUUCUGGUUUUGAAAUUUAAUUACUAGAAGACAAUGCUUUUGAAUGGCUUCUUUGCCAUGACUUCCACAGGUCCUGCUGGCUGUUGCCUAAUGAAUGUCUGAUAGGCCUAGCCCCUUGGCAAAGCAAUGUUUUAUUUGCAAAAUUAUGCUUGUCCAGUGCCUCCUGGGAACUGAAAGCCUGGCAUCAGCAGAGGAACACAAACCGGGCAAAUCAUGGAUCUCCAAGGCUUGCAUUGCUUGGGGGCCAUGGCACACAGCACUGCUAAAAGCCUAGGACAAUCUGUGUGUUUUAGGAGCAAACCGAUGCCUCGCACUUCUAAACCGUAUCCUUUGCUCCCUCCCUGAGAGGCAGCCGUGUGCUCUGGGCUUCCUAGGUAAGUGACUCACACCAACUCUAAGCCUGGCUUAUGACCUAGAAAAGGAAACAGGAAGUGGCUUAGAGACAUAAAGAGCACAGCCCAGGAGGGGCUGCCAUGGAAUUCUCCUUAGACUGUGAAGAGGUGCCUCCAACAAGAAAAACCAGUCUCUGGCAGGUCCUCUAAGGGCAGGGAUUCUGGAGAGGCCGCCCUGUCCUCAGCUUGGCCCUGGCACAUUCUGGCUGCAGAGAAAAUGCUGACUGUGAAGAGCCGAGAAAGAUGACAUGAUGAAGCCAUCAGGGGAGGCACCAAACAUCCUUAACUCUGCUCACCUAUGGUUUUCUCCAGCCCUCCCAGAGCUCCUCCUGCGGCCUGGGAGUGACGCCGAGUGACGCCGAACCGAGGGGAGGAUGGUGACCUAUUUUAUCUCCCAAACAUUGGGCAGUCAGUUACAUUCGCAGAUUUAAAAUCCACCCACACUGCUGCAGUUUCUGUUCUCCUGCCCCCCAGGCAUACUUCUGGCUGGAGCUGGUUUUGUAAAAUGGAGUUGGCUGUGGGUGUGGGAGUCCUCCUCGGAGAGCCUGGUCUGACAGCCCCAGUCCACAGCCCUCCCAUGGGCUUUUGGGCUGCUCCAGUCCUGGCAAGUGCACAGCGGCAGGGGAAUCUGGUUUUGUCCUGGUCUCAGCUGGGGAAGUCUAGUUAAAGAAAGAAAAGGUCAGCCGGGUGCAGUGGCUCACACCUGUAAUCUCAGCACUUUGGGGGGCUGAAAUGGGCAGAUCACGAGGUCAGGAGUUUGAGACCAGCCUGGCCAACAUGGUGAAACCCUGUCUCUACUAAAAAUACAAAAAUUAGCUGGGCGUGGUGGUGGAUGCCUGUAAUCGCAGCUACUCAGGAGGCUGAGGCAGGAGAAUCACUUGAAACCGGAAGGUGGAGGUUGCAGUGAGCUGAGGUCCCACCACUGCACUCCAGCCUGGGCAACAAGAGCAAAACUCUGUCUCAAAAAAAAAAAAAAGAUAUCGGUGGAAAUGAGAUCUUUUUUUUUUUGAGUGCCUUGAAUCUGGGGUCUCUCUAAUAUUCUAAUCACUCAAUCACUUAACAAAUAUUUAUUGAGGGCCUACUAGGUGCCACACAUUGGAAGACAGCGGAGGGUGAAGCAGAGUCUGCCCUCAGGGAGAUUACAGUUUAGAUUACAGGCAAGACAGCGCUUACACAUAUAAUUCCAGAUGAGUCAAUAAUGACAGGGGUGCAGAGGCUUUGAAGCAGAAGCAUAAGGUGCAAUGGGAACAUAAAAUAGGGAAGCUUAAUGCAGACUGAGGGGCCUGAGGAGGGUUCCUCGAGAAAGUGAGGUUGAAGCUGAGAACCUGAGGGGUAGUUUGCAUGCAGUACAAUCGAAGGUUGAAAGGGAAGAUCCUCCAAUGCACAAAGAAUUUAUGCUGCAGAAACAUUGUCUUCCUGAGGAUACAUUUGGGAAUGUAGGUAGAAAUUAACUGUCUUGCCUUCAUAUACAGUGUAGUGGAGACCACUGUGGAUCUCCAACGUUUGUCUUUUCUUAGUAACAAGUCCCCAGUUUUUGCUAGGUACAUAGCUACCCAGAGAAAAAAUUAUGUGGCCACCUUACUAUGUUCUGGCCAAUGAGAUGUCAGCAGAGGUAAUGUGCGGGGCCUCUGAGAAGGCUCUUUUCUGCUACUGGCUGGAGGCUGAAAAGCCAUUAGGGACCAUGAAGAGACAUGCUAAGGUUGGAGAGUCAGCGUAUUACAUGGAGCCUCCUUCUCUGAUGGCAAUGGGCUGUGAACAAGCCCUGGAUUGCCUAUUUCCCGACUUCUUUUGUAAAAGGGAGAAAUAAAGGUCAAUUUUUUUAAAAGCGUCUA